CCGCAGUGCCUGCGGGGCGCGGCGCUGCCUCGGGCCCGCCCGUACGGGGAGGAGGAGUGGCCCCUUCCCGGCGGAGUGGGAUGUGGGUCCCUGGGGACGGGCGGGCCCGUCGGGGCGGUAUGCAGGCGGGGAGUGCUCAGGGCGCUGCAGCUGCCGGUGAAGGGUAGCGGGUUCAGGCCGCCUGCGGCUCCCGGCCAUCAGGGGACGGACACCCGUGGGAGGCCACGCCUGUGGACACCACUGCUCCGCUGAGGAGGAGGAGGGGGCUGCGGCCGCGGGCAGCGGAGCUAAUAAGAAGCCAUACGAUGAAUAACUCCAUGACAAAGGAAAUCCCUGUAGCUCAGACUUACCUGCCGGCUUGCAUCCAACGCUCCCGACUGCAAGGCCCAGGCUGACACGGUGUUAAAGGCUUUCACAACCCUGGCGCCUGGCAACAGCUGAGCAAGGUGAACUCAAACCAGACAACCUAAGACCUCCAAGAGGAGACCCUGAGAGACCCCUCUCUUGAACUGGCCAUCAAUUUGGUACUUAGAGCAGCAAUUUAAUUAGCAGGAGCCCUGAUGGGAUAUCAUGCCAUUUAUGAGAAUGUUUUUUCUGCACAUUCUGAUUAGUCCUGGUGAGGCUGUUCCACUUGAGAAAAGCACAUGGAGGGAAAUCAUCCAGAACUAAGAACCUGUCCUCACUCCUGAUUUAAUCUUAACUUCAUGUUUUCCUAAGCAAGUCAUGGGAACUGCAUCUCCCAGUGCAAGGUUAGACCUAGCCUUUCUCCUGACCCAGGGUGAUCUACGUCGCUCUGCCAGCGCAACACACAAGGCAGCUCAGCCAAGCAUGAGAAGAGCAGUUCCAAGCUGGGUGGCCUGAACCUGUGUUUCAGUAUACUGCCACCACCGAAGUUAGAGCAUUUCUCCUGUAACCCCACCAGAAGUCACCUCAGCAAUUUAGUAAAGUUAAAAAACCAAAAAGUCACCAUUGCAAUU